rnacentral:pre_miRNA from 1 species
AGCAUGCUUUCGUACAUGUUUUCCGAUAGUCACUCGUAUAUAUAUAUAUAUAUAUAUAUAUACGAGUGACUAUCGGAAAACAUGUACGAAAGCAUGCUACA